CUUAGUUAGAAGCUUCCUUUUGCCCAGAAAUUAUCGUGCAGCUGAGUGAUAAGAAUGAAUCCAACCAAGUUUGAUCUCGGAUUUCCAUUGCACAGAAAAUAAGCGAGCCUGCACAUGAAGCCUUAGAAGGGGUGGCUGAGGAAAGACGCUUACUCACCGGGCCCCUGAGCCUCUUUGGCUGCCAGACUCAGCGAGGAGACAGCUUCUGUCUCACUUCAUUCUGCCCAGCUGAUGCUCAAGGUCCACAUCCGUAGGAACUGCCCUGCCGGGUUUUUAAGGAGAAAUCUAAUGCUUAUCUUGUGGAAGAAGUUAUAAUGUGGAGAUCCAUGAGCAGCCCCCAGGCCUUGAAGGACGUGGACUUCCUGAUAACAGGGGAUCAGCCAGGCAAGCUUAACCAGCUUUAUGAGGGAGCCAGACAGCACAUCCAAGCUGCAGUGUGCUGGACGAGCCUGGCCCAGUCGCCUCCAUCUGGCACAGAGGACAAGAGUCCAGUGUCUCGGGCUUCUCUGACACCCGGAGCCACCUGGAGUCCUGAAGGGCCCGGGACACCUCCCUCUGCCUGCCCCAGAGGAGGAAGCUGCAGUGAGUCACCCCGAAGCCCUUUGUCUAGAGGAGCCAGAGGGGAAAGGAGAGGGGAAGCUUCCUCCGAAGCCUGAGGGCGGAGAGGUGGGUGUGCUGCCCGCCCCCCUCAAGGCUAUUGUGGGCAUCAGGAACUGAGAUCCAGUGGGAAGACGGAGGAGGAGGGGGAGGGAGGAGCAGCUCACCUGACUUGUAUUCCACCAUCCAAACUGCAUGGUUCAGGCCAAGGCACUCAUCUCCAAGC
ensembl:lncRNA